rnacentral:hammerhead_ribozyme from 1 species
AUCCAUAUGACGGGUACCAAAUAGGACGAAAUGCGCAUCCUAGAU